rnacentral:misc_RNA from 1 species
CUCCCUCAAACCCUUGGGUUUGGUGUUGAGCAAUACGCGAUACGGUUUGUUUGAAAUAUAGUAAUGUACCGACGUAAACGACUUAGGUCUAACCAAAACGUUUCUUUGGGUACUCAUGCUUUUUUCAAC